GGGACCGUGGCUCAGUGGUAGACCAUCUGCUUGGCAUGUACAAGGUCCCAGGUUCAAUCCCGGGUAUCUCCA
rnacentral:tRNA from 1 species